UAGCUUUCCAGGGAGCAGGGAUGA
rnacentral:piRNA from 1 species